CGGAACACGUACGCAACAUACCCACUACUGGGGCAUAGCCUUCUGAAAAGGAGAUUAACACCCCAUAAGAUCACGAGCGUGGCAUCACGUAGUGAUUAAAAAUUUAUUGGUAGAGGAUUGGCGUGCGUCCUAUUAGCUAGUUGGUAAGGGUAACGGCCUACCAAGGCGACGAUAGGUAGCUGGUGUGAGAGCACGACCAGCCACACGGGCACUGAGACACGGGCCCG
rnacentral:rRNA from 1 species